CUGUAGUGGAAAAGGGACCCAGAUCUUUUUCUCUUUUUUUCCAUCCCUGUUUGAGUUGCUCUGGGAAAAAUACAUGUUUUACGGAGGGAAAUUAAAGUGCGAGCCCGGACCACACAGUAGCAACCGCCAGCCGAGGGAUGUUACCCGCGAGCGUGCAAGCUUCCUCAUCUGCAAAAUAGGAUCGUACAUGUUUCUAUUGCCAACUGAAUUUUUCUGUUUGGUCUGAUUUUCAGAAGAACAAGGAAGGAAAAAGGGCAGUGAAAAAGAGAGCAGAAGACCAGGGGGCGAACGGAAAAGAAAGAAGAAGAAGAAACAGGGUAAAAAUAAGACGAGCCAAAGAAAGGAGAGCAACCGUCAGCACUCACCCCACAGAGUAUAAAGGCAGAAAGGAAAAGACGAGGUGAAGAGAUGAAGCCACUAAAGAGACAGAGGGGAUGCUCUCCCCCCUCCACGCGGGCCAAAGGGGGGAAGAAGAGAGGGCCGACAGAGACCCCCCCAGAGAGGGACAACAGGAACAAACUCAGGAAGGAGAACCAAGACGGACAGCCUCAAUCCACGACCCCCGCCCACUUGCUACGGAAACAAUCCAGAACCUCCUCUGACAGCUCUCAGCGGGAGCCAAUCAGAGGCAGUGAAACCCCAAAGAAGGAGGGACCUAGAGAGCAGGUGCUGCCAAGGCAACCUGAAGAUAAAGAGAAGACCGAGGACAGCAGAGGGGGGGUUGGGGGGAAACCAGGGGGGCCUAACAGCACCCCCACCUCCUCCCAUAACAACAUCCUCACCAUCCCCACCCCCACUACCAGUCCCAGCCCUACCUCCAUGUCCAGUAGGAAAACAGCCACCUUCAAGGCCAGAGUCCCCAAGAAGAAGUACAUUGCUGAACACUAUGCUGGUAGCAAUGCGCCCAGCCUCACCUUCACCCCUGCCCCCAUGCACAACAGCCACAGUAACUACAGUAGUACUAGCAGUAGUAUUAACAUCAUCAACAGCAGUAGUACUAACAGUAAUAACAGUAGUAAUACCAUUAGUAACAGUAGUAGGACCAACACUACUAUUAAUGGUAUUAACAGUGGUACUAAUAGCAUUAGUAACAGCAUUAGUAACAGCAUAAGUAACAGCAUAAGUAACAGCAUUAGUAACAGCAUUAGUAACAGCAUUAGUAACAGCAUUAGUAACAGCAUUAGUAACAGCAUUAGUAACAGCAUAAGUAACAGCAUUAGUAACAGCAUUAGUAACAGCAUUAGUAACAGCCAUAGUAGCAGCUCAGUCAGCCACUCGUUAGCCCCCAGUGUGUCCAAUGAGGAGAGGAUGGUAACCGCUAGCAGCCACAGCCAUGGCCCGGGGGAACAGGGAAUGACAGGGGCCUCCAUAGGGCCCAACAAUGGUACUGUGGCCCCCCAGGACAGAGAAAGAGACCCCCAGGGUGGUGAGACAGAGGCAGAGGGGGCCCCUAACUCAGUACGCUCCGUAUCCACGGAUACAGCCAGUGAGCACGAUCUGGAGGUGAACUCCCAGCCCAGUACCAGCCCUGCUAGAGCCCCCUACCAUGGCAGCCUGCCCCCUUACUCUGCUACUACCUCCCAGCCCGGCACCGGCCCCAACCAGAGCCACAGAAAGGGCAGUCUGUCCGGGGCGGAUGCUCUGGCCAAAGGCCUGAAGAACCAGAGAGUUCUAGCCCGCUGUCGAUGGAGAGACAGACUUAACGGAGAGCAAGGUGGGAGGGAGAGAGAGAGGGAUGGACCCCUGUCUCCUAUGUUCAGGACUGGGGUGGUGCGGCGGGUGAGUGGGGGCAGCGCUGAUAUCCAGCUGCAGGGGGAGGAGGGGAUACUCUGUUACCCCUUUCAUGGGGGGACCGCACACCCGGAGUGGGAGGAGACGAGCGUGGAGUUCAUCCUGGACGCCCCUCCACCCGGCACGGCGUCCGUGGCCAUCGGGACACGCGUAUGUGUGCCUUUCG
ensembl:lncRNA